rnacentral:rRNA from 1 species
GAUGAACGCUGGCGGCGUGCCUAAUACAUGCAAGUCGAGCGAACAGACGAGGAGCUUGCUCCUUCGACGUUAGCGGCGGACGGGUGAGUAACACGUAGGUAACCUACCUAUAAGACUGGGAUAACUUCGGGAAACCGGAGCUAAUACCGGAUAAUAUUUCGAACCGCAUGGUUCGAUAGUGAAAGAUGGCUUUGCUGUCACUUAUAGAUGGACCUGCGCCGUAUUAGCUAGUUGGUAAGGUAACGGCUUACCAAGGCAACGAUACGUAGCCGACCUGAGAGGGUGAUCAGCCACACUGGAACUGAGACACGGUCCAGACUCCUACGGGAGGCAGCAGUAGGGAAUCUUCCGCAAUGGGCGAAAGCCUGACGGAGCAACGCCGCGUGAGUGAUGAAGGUCUUCGGAUCGUAAAACUCUGUUAUUAGGGAAGAACAAACGUGUAAGUAACUGUGCACGUCUUGACGGUACCUAAUCAGAAAGCCACGGCUAACUACGUG